UUCCGGUUGAUCCUGCCGGACCCGACUGCUAUCAGAGUAGGACUAAGCCAUGCGAGUUAACGUAGCAAUACGUGGCAUACGGCUCAGUAACACGUAGUCAACAUGCCCAGGGGACGUGGAUAACCUCGGGAAACUGAGGAUAAACCGCGAUAGGUCAUAAUAUCUGGAAUGAUGUAUGGCUUAAAUCUAUAUGGCCCCUGGAUUGGACUGCGGCCGAUCAGGCUGUUGGUGAGGUAAUGGCCCACCAAACCUAAAACCGGUACGGGCUCUGAGAGGAGAAGCCCGGAGAUGGGCACUGAGACAAGGGCCCAGGCCCUAUGGGGCGCAGCAGGCGCGAAAACUCUGCAAUAAGCGAAAGCUUGACAGGGUUAUUCUGAGUGAUUUCCGCUAAGGAAAUCUUUUGGCACCUCUAAAAAUGGUGCAGAAUAAGGGGUGGGCAAGCCUGGUGUCAGCCGCCGCGGUAAUACCAGCACCCCGAGUGGUCGGGACGAUUAUUGGGCCUAAAGCAUCCGUAGCCGGUUCUACAAGUCUUCCGUUAAAUCCACCUGCUUAACAGGUGGGCUGCGGAGGAUACUAUAGAGCUAGGAGGCGGGAGAGGCAAGCGGUACUUAGUGGGUAGGGGUAAAAUCCG
rnacentral:rRNA from 1 species